rnacentral:miRNA from 1 species
GCAGGGAUCCUGAACGUAGUGCCACCUCAUGGUACUUGGAGGGAGGUUGUCCGUGGUGAGUUCGCAUUACUUAAUGAUGC